rnacentral:rRNA from 1 species
ACGCACGCUGGCGGCGUGCUUAACACCUGCAAGUCGAACGGAAAGGCCCUGCUUUUGUGGGGUGCUCGAGUGGCGAACGGGUGAGUAACACGUGAGUAACCUGCCCUUGACUUUGGGAUAACUUCAGGAAACUGGGGCUAAUACCGGAUAGGAGCUCCUGCUGCAUGGUGGGGGUUGGAAAGUUUCGGCGGUUGGGGAUGGACUCGCGGCUUAUCAGCUUGUUGGCGGGGUAGUGGCUUACCAAGGCUUUGACGGGUAGCCGGCCUGAGAGGGUGACCGGCCACAUUGGGACUGAGAUACGGCCCAGACUCCUACGGGAGGCAGCAGUGGGGAAUAUUGCACAAUGGGCGGAAGCCUGAUGCAGCAACGCCGCGUGCGGGAUGACGGCCUUCGGGUUGUAAACCGCUUUCGCCUGUGACGAAGCGUGAGUGACGGUAAUGGGUAAAGAAGCACCGGCUAACUACGUG